CAGACGCAGGCUCUCACUGACAAGUUGGUGGGGGUGAGGUUUCUUGCAUUAGUACAUUGACGCGUACAUGUUUUUCUGUUGGCUACAUACAGGUAAAAUUCUUUAUCGUAGUGCUGUUUUAGUGUCUCAAAAGCUAUUUUAGCUUCAGUUGUCCAUUUUAACACUGCUUUAAACAACUGGUUUCCUGCUUCUUUUAGGAGUUCUCUAAACGAUGCUGUUUUCCUGCAUAGUUUUCAAUCCAGUCUGCAUUGAAACCUGUCAUUCCCAACAAUGUCAUCAUUUCGCUGACUGUCCGUGGACUUGGAGCUUUGCUAAAACCUUCCAGUUGAGAAGGUGAAAUGCUAACUCUUCCUUGAGAGGUCCUUUUGUCUCUCCUCGGACGGGGGAGAGAGGGAGAGGAGGGGCAACGCUCCGGGAGGAGGGAGUGAAAAGUGUUGUGUGUGUGGCUCUCCUUGCCUACGUAGAGCUGUAUGUGUGGUUCCUCUGCCUGAGGAGAACUUAGUGUGUGUGUGCAAGAUUUUCCUUCGGGCGGGGGAGAGAGCUACUUGGCAGUCUUUAACUAACAGGCUAAAAAUAACUCAGCCUGCCAGUGGUUCUGCCCCACUGACAGGCAAAAAAGGCAGACGGAGCCGUCUCCUUCCCCAAACAAAACAGUCUUACAAAUACAAAGUUUAAAUACCUGCACCCACAUCUUAACAACAUAACAGCUUCAAAAAGUAUACACACCUUGGUCCACCAAGAUUUCCUUACAACAAUAAAAGUUUCCAAGCACUUUUUAGCUCAUCAACCUAGACAACUUUACCUCUAACAGUGGGACUUGAAUACAAAAAAACAAACAAAAACAAAACAAAAGCAACCAUGCAGUUUCAUUCAUCCAUGCGUUUUAGUCAUCCAAUAAAGCUCUCAUCCUUUAUAAUCACACGUAGACGUCAACAACAAUCACACAUUCUUAAUCAUCACCUUUCAACAUUCCCACAUUCUCACGUUUUCCUUUCACUCUCACUCUCCCGGGAGACUUAUUGUUUUUCUUAAAGGUCCAAAUGUUCAAUGUUCCUGGAUUUUAACUGUGCGCACAGAAAAUUUAAAUCAGGUUUUUUAUGGGACCCAGAGCAAAAAAAAAAAAAAAAA